GCGGAGGCGUCUGAUGUGUAUAAAAGACAGGGCUAGCGCCGAUGUUAAGUCUCUUGGAGGUAGAGCACUGUUUGAUUGAGGGGUCCAUCCCGGAUUACCAAUAUCAGAUAAACUCCGAAUGCCAAUGAGAUAUAAUCGGCAGUCAGACUGCGAGUGCUAAGAUCCGUAGUCGAAAGGGAAACAGCCCAGACCACCAGCUAAGGUCCCAAAAUAUAUGUUAAGUGGAAAAGGAUGUGGGGUUGCACAGACAACUAGGAUGUUAGCUUAGAAGCAGCUAUUCAUUCAAAGAGUGCGUAAUAGCUCACUAGUCGAGUGACCCUGCGCCGAAAAUGUACCGGGGCUAAAACAUAUUACCGAAGCUGUGGAUACCUUUUAGGUAUGGUAGGAGAGCGUUCUAUGUGUGAAGAAGGUGUACCGUGAGGAGCGCUGGAACGCAUAGAAGUGAGAAUGCCGGUAUGAGUAGCGAAAGACAGGUGAGAAUCCUGUCCACCGUAUGACUAAGGUUUCCAGGGGAAGGCUCGUCCUCCCUGGGUUAGUCGGGACCUAAGGAGAGACCGAAAGGUGUAUCCGAUGGACAACAGGUUGAUAUUCCUGUACUAGAGUAUAUAGUGAUGGAGGGACGCAGUAGGCUAACUAAAGCGUGCGAUUGGAAGUGCACGUCUAAGCAGUGAGGUGUGAUAUGAGUCAAAUGCUUAUAUCUCUAACAUUGAGCUGUGAUGGGGAGCGAAGUUAAGUAGCGAAGUUAGUGAUGUCACACUGCCAAGAAAAGCUUCUAGCGUUAAUUAUACUCUACCCGUACCGCAAACCGACACAGGUAGUCGAGGCGAGUAGCCUCAGGUGAGCGAGAGAACUCUCGUUAAGGAACUCGGCAAAAUGACCCCGUAACUUCGGGAGAAGGGGCGCUGGCUUUAAGUCAGCCGCAGUGAAUAGGCCCAAGCAACUGUUUAUCAAAAACACAGCUCUCUGCUAAAUCGUAAGAUGAUGUAUAGGGGGUGACGCCUGCCCGGUGCUGGAAGGUUAAGAGGAGCGCUUAGCAUUAGCGAAGGUGUGAAUUGAAGCCCCAGUAAACGGCGGCCGUAACUAUAACGGUCCUAAGGUAGCGAAAUUCCUUGUCGGGUAAGUUCCGACCCGCACGAAAGGCGUAAUGAUUUGGGCACUGUCUCAACGAGAGACUCGGUGAAAUUUUAGUACCUGUGAAGAUGCAGGUUACCCGCGACAGGACGGAAAGACCCCAUGGAGCUUUACUGCAGUUUGAUAUUGAGUAUCUGUACCACAUGUACAGGAUAGGUAGGAGCCUAUGAAAUCGGGACGCUAGUUUCGGUGGAGGCGUUGUUGGGAUACUACCCUUGUGUUAUGGCUACUCUAACCUAGAUAGGCUAUCCCUAUCGGAGACAGUGUCUGACGGGCAGUUUGACUGGGGCGGUCGCCUCCUAAAAGGUAACGGAGGCGCCCAAAGGUUCCCUCAGAAUGGUUGGAAAUCAUUCGCAGAGUGUAAAGGUAUAAGGGAGCUUGACUGCGAGAGCUACAACUCGAGCAGGGACGAAAGUCGGGCUUAGUGAUCCGGUGGUUCCGCAUGGAAGGGCCAUCGCUCAACGGAUAAAAGCUACCCUGGGGAUAACAGGCUUAUC
rnacentral:rRNA from 1 species